rfam:Myotis brandtii contig246193, whole genome shotgun sequence.
CCAGAGGAUUUUCUCAAAUCCAUUGAGAUUUUGCUUCCAGGCAUGU